rfam:Triticum aestivum genome assembly, contig: Triticum_aestivum_CS42_TGACv1_scaffold_292493_4AL
CACAUACUUCCUCCGUUCGGAAAUACUUGUCCUGAAAAUGGAUAAAAUGGAUAUAUCUAUAACUAAAAUAAGUCUAAAUACAAUCAUUUUAAAGACAAGUAUUUCCGGAGGAAGGGAGUAUAUG